GGCUGUACCACCCUGAAUGCGCCCAAUCUUGCCUGAUCUUGGAAGCUAAGCAGGGUCAGGCCUAGUUAGUACCUGGAUAGGAGUUUGAAUCCUAAGAUCUACCACUU
rfam:Sus scrofa chromosome 8.